rnacentral:snoRNA from 1 species
AUAACAAUUUGUGAUGCUUUAGGGAGCCUAUUGUUUGAUGGUUUAUAGGAGCCGGAUUUGUCUUUUUGACUAAUUUUCAACCUAUUCUUACUUCCAAAACUGUUGCAAUGACUCUCGUUUUUGUUAAAUUUUCCUCUUUUCUCUUCUUUGGCAUAGUUUAUUUUUAAUAAAUUAUUUCAGGGUGAGAUAGAGAAAGAAUAAUGAGUAUCGUAGAUAAAUCUUCGGUUCCGAAUAGUGUAACUGUUGGUGCUGAGGUAAUCCAUCUUUAAAACCAUCGCCGUUAGAGGUUGCUUCUGAUAUUUUCGGUUAAGCGACCCAUGAAAUGGUGAUGACCUGAGGUAUGGAACAUCU